UUACUGGAGUGGUACAUAAAAAGCUUUUUUAAAACCCUAACAAUAAUAAAGAUAACAGGUUAUUAUAAAGCACACAAUGAAAUCAUUAAUGUAAGCACUCAGCACCUAUAAAGUACGUUUUGUUUUGUAAACAAAACUUUAUCUACCGGCAAAAAUAUUUAGAGUGCAAAAAAAAGUUAUCUUUUGCAACUGAGAGGUGUGAGCAAUUGCACACAUCACCUAAGUUUUUUUCCGAUAGCUUUUUUCUUAUAAAAAAGCAUGUAAUAGGUAGCAAUCGAACUGUAUUCAAACUUAUCUCUAUCAGUGAAGAGUAAUAAUUCGUAAAAUCUGUUAAUUUGUUGUGAGAGAAAAUCACAAAAUUUUUAAAUAUGCCCUGCAAAGAUUGUUGUAAAGACUGCAAAUGCACCAGCGCUAAAUGUUGUCAAUCCUGCAAUUGUUCUGAUAAUU